UAAGCAUAUCAAUAAGCGGAGGAAAAGAAACCAACAGGGAUUGCCUCAGUAACGGCGAGUGAAGCGGCAACAGCUCAAAUUUGAAAUCUGGCUCUUUCAGGGUCCGAGUUGUAAUUUGUAGAGGAUGUUUCGGGUGUGGCUCCGGUCUAAGUUCCUUGGAACAGGACGUCAUAGAGGGUGAGAAUCCCGUAUGUGACUGGUAGCCUAUGCUCAUGUGAAACUCCUUCGACGAGUCGAGUUGUUUGGGAAUGCAGCUCAAAAUGGGUGGUAAAUUUCAUCUAAAGCUAAAUAUUGGCCAGAGACCGAUAGCGCACAAGUAGAGUGAUCGAAAGAUGAAAAGCACUUUGGAAAGAGAGUUAAACAGUACGUGAAAUUGUUGAAAGGGAAGCGCUUGCAACCAGACUUGCAUGUAGCUGAUCAACCGGUGUUCUCACCGGUGCACUCAGUUGCGUUCAGGCCAGCAUCGGUUUCGACGGUUGGAUAAAGGCCUUGGGAAUGUAGCUUCUUUCGGGGAGUGUUAUAGCCCAGGGUGCAAUGCAGCCUGUCGGGACCGAGGACCGCGCUUCGGCUAGGAUGCUGGCGUAAUGGUUGUAAGCGACCCGUCUUGAAACACGGACCAAGGAGUCUAACAUCUAUGCGAGUGUUUGGGUGUCAAACCCAUACGCGUAAUGAAAGUGAACGGAGGUGAGAACCCUUAAGGGUGCAUCAUCGACCGAUCCUGAUGUCUUCGGAUGGAUUUGAGUAAGAGCAUAGCUGUUGGGACCCGAAAGAUGGUGAACUAUGCCUGAAUAGGGUGAAGCCAGAGGAAACUCUGGUGGAGGCUCGCAGCGGUUCUGACGUGCAAAUCGAUCGUCAAAUUUGGGUAUAGGGGCGAAAGACUAAUCGAACCAUCUAGUAGCUGGUUCCUGCCGAAGUUCCCUCAGGAA
rnacentral:rRNA from 1 species